rnacentral:rRNA from 1 species
AACGUAGGAGACGAACGUUAUCCGGAAUCACUGGGCGUAAAGCGCACGUAGGCGGGUUCUUAAGUCAGGGGUGAAAUCCUGGAGCUCAACUCCAGAACUGCCUUUGAUACUGGGAAUCUCGAGUCCGGGAGAGGUGAGUGGAACUGCGAGUGUAGAGGUGAAAUUCGUAGAUAUUCGGAAGAACACCAGUGGCGAAGGCGGCUCACUGGACUGGUAUUGACGCUGAGGUGCGAAAGCGUGGGGAGCAAACAGG